ACGAGUAAGUGCCAGCAACCAAACUUUCUGAGCUGUUCUUUCAAAAUCCUCCCUCUGUCCUUUCAUUCUUCUUAUAUUCAAAAGAAGUGACACAAUUACCAUGACAUUGAACUGUAAACAAAAAACGGCUAAACGCCUCUUCGGUUCUCUGGAUAUGGCAGACCAGCGAAGUAUGAACCUUCAGAGCUCAGGUAUGUCUGAGGACUGCACAGCCAGGGUGACCUUUGGUCACUUGUUACCCCUUCAGGUGAGAGUUCCCUUCUCUGGGUAAAUGCAGCCAUGCUUUGCAGUUUUUACUCCCUCACCCCUUUCUCCACCACUGUUUCUUUGCUGCUGUCUCUGUGGAUUUCCAGAGCUGUCAGCAGCAAUUUUGGCUGGUCUGUGAGGAAAGCACCACUGUACAGCUGGCAUAAGGUGAAGCAAGCUGUGAGAAAAUGUUCUUCUCAACAGCUUUGCUGAAAAAUUCCCCUUACUGUUCUAAACACAGGAAGAAGAGGUUGGGAUGCCAAAUAGAGGACACAAUCACAUACCUGUGUGCUGUUUUUCUCGCUCAUCUUUGAUCACUGGUAUUCACAGAAUCAUAGGAUAAUUUGGGUUGACAGGGACCUUUAAAAGUCGCGUAGUCCAACUGUCCUGCAAUGAGCAGGGAUAUCUUCAACUCUUAUCAAGAUGUUCUUUUCUAUUCUGUCUGUAGGCUUUAUAAAGCCAGUGAAGAGGCAAGGAAGUUCCUCAGUUGCAGACUCUGAUUCUUCCCCUCCUUGUCUGUUCAGCAGCAGCUGCUCAGAGAACUGGGUCCUCAGUGACCCUAGCAAAGUGUGUGCUCAUCCCUCCACAGUAUAGGACACUCAGCUACUCCUUCCUCUCUGCCUUUACUAUGUUGCAGUUGCUCAGCUCAAGCUGCCUUUCCCCUGUGAAAUCUUUGUUCUCUCCACAGUGCUCAGGAAAGGUAGUACUGCAAUUUCAUGUUGGUUUCUUUCAGCUUCUUGCACUCAAGUGUUAGAAGCUCUUGGUGAUGCUGCUGUGACCAACAGCUGGAGGAGACUAUGGGAUGGGCGUCGACUGUGUGAUUUGUAUCUUGAUGCAGGGAAAGCUUUGCUUGCGUCUUGUGCUUUGUUAGCCACCAGGCAGACCAACCAGAAGACACAAAUACGUCUGAAACUCAUGUUCAUUAGUUCUGCUGUUCACAAAUACUUGUCUGAAGGCAUAAAAGCACAUUUCCUUCCUUCUUUCUUCCAACCCAUAGGAUUUUACCUUUUCACUGUGCUAGCCCUAAGCCUCAGCCUGUGCAAUAUUUUGUUAGAGACUAUAACUGUUUUAGAGGCUGGAAGUCAAAAGCUCUGGAGAUUUGACCUCAAACAAUGUUUUCUUAGGAAAAGGGAGACUCUCAAAGGGAUUGAAUGAACACCAGAAUUAGAUAUUAGAAGUUCAAUUUAUUGAAUUAUUUGAUAUAUCUAUCUAUAUAAAAAUAUUUCUCUUAGCUUCCAUAAGUUUUCUUUUCUCUCAAGGCCUAUAAAAUAGAAUUUGGAGUAUUAAAACACCUCUUUCUUUAUAAAUAAAAAAGAAAGAUGCAAAAUGAGUAGGAGAGUGUCAAAGAACAUAGAAUUUAUUUAAUAGAAAAUUUGCUAGAUAAAGUUUGUAGUGAAAUAUAACCAGAUUGCAAGCAAGGAAAGUACCAAGACCUAGCUCUGACAUGCAGGAGUGCCUAUUAGGUACAGGCUGAUGAUCUCUGGCCCUCAGACAUUUUUUACCUCUCUUACAGAUUGUUAGACCUACCCCUUCUCUCCUUUCAGCACUGCUCUGGGCUCUUCAGACACAUGCAGUGACUUUAGUUUCAGUUCACUGGCUUGAAGGCAUUCUUAUUCUUGUCUGCAUGUGUGGCCAGAAAGACCGUAUUCUACUACGUCUCCACCUCUUGAGAAAACAGGAGAAAAAAAAAAGAGAAAAAAUAAUAUAUAUAUAUACAUGCAAAAAGGGCAUAAAAGUUGCAAAGUCCAGCAUUCAAAAGUUAGGCAGUGUCAGACUGAAUUUCUCAAGGCAUCCUUAAUUUUGCCUCCUGGUGAAUAUGCAUUAUGAUACAGUUUUAAUUACAAGGUUGCAUACUAUUACUUUUCCCCAGGACACCUGCUUCAGCAGGGCACAGGAUGGAUGGUGCUCACUUAAUGAGCAGCUAUUCAAUAUGUUCUUUUAUCCUCAUUGCUUGGCGUUUGGCCUCAGGCCUUAUUUACUGCACACUGCUCAGUCUUCGUUCUAAAGACAGAAUUAUUCAUUUCCUACGUGACUGUUACUGCAGUUCUCACUCUAUCUGAACACGUUAUAAACUUUAAUGACUCUUUACGAUACCCUAGGAAGAGCAGGGUCCACUGACCCCCAUUUAUAGAUACAGACCUGCAACAUUUCCACUUAUCCUGGUUUUAACAUUCAUUUGAAUUGCUUUCUCUUCCGUCCUUUCAAGAGAAGAACUUCUUUUACAUGAUAUUUUCCACACCUUAUUUGCUGAAUGUUGUGGUUGAAAAUUUUAAAAAGCAGUGCAAUCUGGGGUAGCAGUCCCACAUGGAAAAUUUCGGUGCCUUUGACAGAACAAAAAGCUUUGUGAAAACACAGUGCUGUCUAUACAAGGGAAAAGAGUGACAGGUGUCACUCCCAGUUACGGAAGCUGUGACUAGCCCUUCCUGUAGUAUUUAUAUAGGUGAGAAUUUAUGUGCAUGUGCACAAGACAUAUGUGACGUGCAGACCUCUAUGUACAGGGAUACACAUAGAAACUGCUAUGCACAGAGGAACAAAAAGGGGUAUAUAUUAAAAAAAGGCUCAAGCCUUCCCCAAGUGGCCCUUCCCUGGGCUUCAGUGCACCUUUGUACAGUUCCUCCAGCUGAGGAGCUGGUCAGUGACUUCAUGGCUUCUUCCUUAAUGAUAUAAUGAACAGAUUUACUUACAAAAUCUAAUCCUUAGAAAGUAAAUUUAUUUUAAACCCUGGACUCUGCAUAUCUGUUUCUAGUAAUGUGAGCUGUUUUAACCUACCUUAUUCUAAAAAGAAAAGGAAGGUGGGCAAAAAAAUUGGGUCUUUCCUUGCUUGACCUCUUCUGUUUACCACAUAAAAGCAGUGAGUUAAAAUAAGGACAUGGAGAUAUUCUAUCCUGGGCCUGUGAAAUCCAAUAUCAUUUGGUGAAUUCUUUGGCUUAAGAAGGUGGCAGUUUGCAGGUGCUUCAGAGAGAUUAACCUCUCUAGGAAUCACUGAGACAAAAUGGUAGAAACAGUGGCAGAAAGAAUCUCUUUGCUGUGCAGCUGGAAGAUGAUUAAAACAUUGAUAAAUUACUCAAGCAUUGAUUAUUUUUUUUACUGUAUAUAUAAAAAUACCAACCAAUUGGGUAAGUUUUUGUUUGGUUGGGUUUUUUUUAUGGAAUAAAUCGCCAGCAGCCAAAUUGAGAUUAGCUGGAGAAUUACUGGCAUACAAGAUGGGAACCACUGAACCUCCAGAACCAGGUGACCUUUUUUAGUAAGCAGGGAGACAAGCAUAAGGAUCAAAGCCAACCUCUCUUUGCCAUUUUUCUUUUCUCUUUUUUUUUACCCUUUUGGCUGCUCAGGGUCUUCAAGCACUUGAAUACCCUGAUCCAUCUUCUCUGCAUUCAUCAUGACAGUCUGUGUAUCUAUGCCUUUAAUUGAUGAUUUUCUGAAUUCAUUCCCUGUAUAAGAAUAUAUUCUUUUUCUAGACUAUAUGAAUCUACCUAAUUGGAGAGUAGGAUCCACUAGGUUAUGGAAUAGUGACUGUAGAUAAACUUUUUCACUGUUCAUGAAUGCCUAUAUCUGAUGCUGCAGUUUUGAGUAUUUCAGAGUUCAGAUGUGAAUUUUUACAUUCUCAGGUUUAGCAUUAGGACAUAUGAGUUUGAAAAGCAAGAUUUGUUUGAAAGUCAUAAAAGAAAUCCUGGAGAGAGGACCCCAAGCUAGCCCUACCCUCUGUGGCCUUUGUGCAAAGAUUUUGAAGUUGUUUUGGUAUUCUAGUAGAGGACCUCUUCACUUCUUUUUUGGCACUGAGGAUACAAUGACAUUUUUUUAGCUUUGGUAACUAAUGAACGCUGUCUUCUGAAAUGCCAUAAGAUCAAGAAGAGAACUUUGGAUGAACUAGAUUAAUCAGGACUCUAUUGUUUUUCCCUUUUCCAGUUCAUGGCAUAUUCUCACGUAGUUCACAGUUUACGGUGCAAGAUAAAUGGGCAAAACACAAUUGUGGGAGAUGGAAUUUUCUUUCUUCUCUUGACUCAUAUUUUUUGUGUGUAUAUUCUCCUUCUAUCUUUCCUACUGCUAGGCUUAAAGAGAAAUUGAAUCUUUCCUGAGGGACUGAUGGGAAAAGGAAAAUAUGUUUUCCUUAAAAAAAUGUGUAUUCAAAGACUUUAUUAAAAAAUUUUUAGACUGUAAUUAAAAUUAAAAAUUAACUGUAGAACAAAUGCAAUUUGAUUUUCAAGUGGUUCAGACUUCCAAUUGGAACGAGAAUUUCAGAUGUGCUCCUUCUCCUUCUGUUGUGUCCCAUUCUGUACAAAUCUUUCCUUGACCAUCUGCUGAACAACUUUUCAGAAUGGCGGCCCAUAUAUUUUUGGCUUCUAUUUUUCCUGUUUUCCUUUCUUUUCUCCUUGGAAUCUUAACAGACUGUUUUUAUGUUUUGGCGUAUAUAACUUGCUUAGAAAAUAACAUCCAUUUGGAUAGUAAUAUAAUUUGCACUGAUUCUGCACUGUUAAAUAUAAUAUAGAGUAUUGGUACGGUGGAGAAAAAGGAUUUUGCUCCAUAGGACAUCCUGGCAUUUCACUGUUCUUCACCAUCAAAGAUGUUGACACCCAAUUACUUCAGCUAUCAAAAAAAUAGCAAAAUAGAGGAAUAGUGGUUGACAGGAACAUGAAAAUUAAAAAGCAACUACCAUUGCACAGGUAUUUCGCUGUUCUGCUCUUCCUGCAAUACACCUUAGCAAGUCAGUGCCUCCAAAAGCCAUAGGUCAUUCUUAACAUUGAUCACCUUCCCCUCCUUCUAUCACUAUAUAAAUCUGUAAGAUAUUUGUCCCAAACUUUGCUGAAAUGGAGUUUCAGCAGACUCCAUUUGCAAUGAGAUCAGUCUAUUAUCUGUAAUUAAUACAAUUCUGAUACCAGAUAUGACUGGUUUUUAUUUGAAAGGGGAAUACGUUAAUUUGACAUAAUACUUUUUUUUUCACCUAAGGAAUGAGAAAAAGACAGACUCUGAGAAGGAAGGGGAAAGGUUCCUGUCCUUGUACCUGCCUUCUGGGGGUGCUCCAAACAACAAGAUUCAAAAAAUACUCCUAAAAAUCUAGCAAGCUCAACAUCAAUUAUCUUUCUGUGGUGUUUUCCCCAUCCUGGUGACUGGUGGCACAUGAUAUGGUGCCAGAAAGUCAUCAGUCUGGCAGCUGGGGUGUUUUUGUUUUGUUUUGCUUUGCUUUGCUUUGCUUUUCUAACACUGAUCCAGUAAAUAUUUGCUGGGCCAUUUGCACCAUCUGCCAUGCAAAUGUUAGUCCAAGGAAGAAUGGCAGACAGGGUGGAAUAUCUAUGUUAAAGCUCUAUUUAAAGUGGAACUGCUGGUGCCAGUGGCAGGAAACUAGGAGAACAAAGAAGCUGAGCAAGAAAUAUAGAGAAGAAAAGGACAUAGCCUCUGCAGCUUUUCUAGAGAAUCAUCUGUUUCCCAGCACCUCUGGUGAAAAUGCAGUGAACAUGGAAAAUGAAAGACCUACAUGUGAGUGGCUUGGCACUAGGAGAGGACAAACUAGUUUGGCUCAAUUAGAAAACAGAGACUUUGCCGAUAUCUGCAACUAAAGAUGCAAAAUUAUGUGCCACAAAACCACUUUGGUUUCUGUCUGCUACUCCUGUGUGCUCAGGGACUGCUGUCUUAGUCAGAAGCUAGAGGAGGCGUGAUUUAGAGCCAAGUAGGGAUCUUGGGAUAUGAGAGUGUUGUUAUAAGCAAAACACUGUGAGAUGCACUGACAUAAUGAAAUGCCCAUGUUGAUUCAGGCCAAAGAGGAGAACUUGUGAUAUUCUUAUGAGACUCACCUGGGUUUUGAUUGCCUCCUCAUUUAUGUGAGUCAGCUCCUCAUUUAAUAGAAGAAAAACUCAUCAUGUUUCUGAAUACUUUUUUUCUUAAUGGAACCAACUUCCUUUCGAGUUUCUUUGUUACCCACUGGAUCAUUUCAGAUGAACCCCUUCUCAAAAAAAAAAAAAAAAACCAAAAAACAACAGACAAGAAAAUACACCUUCCUUUUGUUUGACCUGCAAUACAGAGAAAGGACCAUGAUAUUGAUUUUCAGAUGACAUGUACCUCACUACAGGUCAAGUCAGCAUACAGUAAAACUCAUGGGUCUGUGUAACACAAAAGAAAACAAUAAAAGGCGAUUUCCUGGGCAUCAGCCACUCAGUGUUGCUGCAGCCAUACAAAACCCUCUGUACUCCUGUUGCUUGACCUUCAAUAACUGUAACAAUGACGGGUGGUUAUGAAAGCACCAAAUUUCACUUUCUUCCAUUGUAGCAUUCUCCACUGACAUUUGGGAUGGGAAUGAUUGCUGUCAGAGAAAAUGAGGUGUCAGGAUGCUUGGAUAAAGCAUCACAGAUAUCCACGGUGUUAGGAAAUCACAUAAACAAACCAACGAUGUCAUGACCAGUGUUAAUGGAAGAAUGAUUAUUUCAACAGGGGGAAAUAACAACAACCCUCAAAACAGAAAGUGUCUUUCUUCUUUGGCAAAGUGAUGAAAUGAUUACCGGUGUUGUUCCUAUUAGUGAUUCCUGAUUAUGUACUUCCAGCUAAUAUCUGACACAGUUUUUCAGCCAGUUACUAUUUCUGGUCAUUUUUCUUUACUGUGACAAAACCAAAAGGCUACCUCUCUGCAAGAAAAUGCAAAAUACCAACCUUCUACCUCAGCUCAAGUCAUGAUAACAGUUCACAGACAAAGGGACACCAAUGUGUCUUUUGAUGUUUCAAUGAAAAUUAAACUCAAAACCAACUAAUCCUUCCUAUUGGAAGAAAAUAUAGCAAAUUAGAGUUUGGAAAGCAAUGGCUGAAUGAACCUAUUUACUUUUAUUGUAUAAACAAUAAAAUUGUUUUUCUUGUGCUUGAUUGCAUUGGGUUGAUAAUUCUCCUUUUGUGUGGACAUGACAGUGAGAGAGAGAUUUAAUUUUUUUCUUUCCCAUCCAUUGUCUCAGUGAAUUCACUGACACUCUCAAAUCUGCAAAAUGCAAAUUAUACUGUCAAAAGGGAAAUCAGGAUGGCAUUUCUUGCUUUCAGACUUCCUUUGCUGCUGUGUAGGUUAUGCUUGCCUGUGUUGGAAUGGGGAGUGUUGUGUGCUGUAUCAGUGAUGGAGUGGCGGUUGUGGAUUUGCAAAAAGACAGUGAUGUGAAUGAAUCUGAAACUGCCAUCUUUUUAUUGUUUAGUAAGACAAAAGGUAAUUUUUAACUCAGUCCCAUGUGUCAUUCACAUGUGUUCAGCAUUCUCUGCAGCACCAUCCAUCUGCCACCUUCACCCAGCGUGAGGACUGGGAAGCCCACGUCUGCAAAUGGAAAGCAUACAUUAAAAAUAAUGAACACUUGUUUUGUAGUAUACCAGAGCAAUUUUUUCAGUGAUGUAUAUGUGCAGGCUUAUUUAUUUCAAUUGAAUUUUGUUUCUGUUGUUUAACCUCCAUAAUAGAUAUAGCAUAAUAGAUAUAGAUAAAUUAUAGAUAUAUUGAUUAAUCACAGACAUUGAAGAAGGUCUGUGCCCACCUGUUUCUAAUUUUAAUUUCAAAUGACACUUUUUACCAUGUUGAUUUAGUGGGCUCAUACCGUACUCAGUUCUUUGUGUCUUGCAACAUGAGGGAUGCAUCUUCCUUACCUUUCAAGCUGAUUGACAGUCACUUCCAAGCAGGAUAUAUCAGCUGCAGCAAACUCACAUUCUUGUCUUCCUUGUUUGCCCUGAGUGAGAUGAAACUCUAUAAAGGGAGUUUAUUCUCUGAGAUCACUAGUGCUGAGACUUGGGGCACUGUUCUCUUAUGUGUCAGAGGACUGACAACCCUGACAUUUUCAGAGACAAAAUUUCACACGCUUUUCUGAAAGGAAUUUAAAAUUUCAGAAAGAUGAAACAUAUUUCUGAAAAUACCUUUAUAAUGACCAGAUCUAGCAAAAUUACUUUCAUAAAAGUGAUAUUGCUAUGUUACAAUUUGCAGUGUCACUGCUCCUGGCACACUAUAGAGGUAUGCAGUGCUUUAAAGGGCCUGCAUAGUUUAGUGGCUCACAUAUAUUUUAUUUCUCAGAGCAAUUGUAAUUGCCUGUUGCCUGGGGGAGAGAAGAAAUUUACUAUAUUAAGCACUAAACAUAAUGUGUAAUUGUGUUUAAAUAUAAACUCUUUUUUCUUUUUUUUAACAGAUCACGCUGAAAGUAAUAGUUAAUGACAAAUAAUGUCUGGACAUCAGGAGUGACUUUAUGAAAUUGUAAGACAUACCUUGACCCACCAAAUCUGUUAGUUUGCAAUGCCUGCACGUGCCUGUUUUUAAUUUCCUAACUCUUUUUGAAUAUCUAAGUUGGGCAUGAACUGAACAACACAUUAUAUCAAUUGCAGAUCCCCCCCAGGGUUACAAAGCAUCGGAGCACUCAGACAUGUCAAGUGAGAUCUAUAGCAGGAAAGACAGUAUUGUGGGGAUCAGGUGGGGUGUUCAGCAUUUGUUCUGUUCCUGUGCCGCUUGUGCAUGCUUGUUUUGCCUUUCAGAAAGAUGGACCUCAGCACAGCUUUGUUUAAGCCAGACUCCAACAUUUAUAUUCUCCAGUAUUUUUACCUUGAUUGAAUCUAGUCAGUGAGCAAGCCACAGGUGACUCAGAGGAUGACUGUAUGGAAAUGGAUGCUGUUGCUGGGAGGAAGUUUUUCUGAAGCAGGGGAAUGGGAGCCUCAGGUAUCUCAGACCAGAACAUGAGCUUACCAGAUCCUGUCAGUCAUAGAUGCUGCAAUAUAACUGCCAUAAAUGCAUAGAAGGGGAGAAAGAAGAGGGUUUAUAGUGCUCCACUGGGGAAAAGGGCUUUUGUCUUUGUUGAUGACCUAAACAUGCCUGCCAAGGAGAAAUAUGGUGCCCAGCCUCCCAUUGAACUGCUGCAGCAAUGGAUUGACCACGGCUACUGGUUUGACAGCUUUACACGGCAGUCUCAGCCUGUGAUCCCUCAGUGCUUUUCCGAGAGCGGCAUGAAAGUUGGCAGGUAAGAAGUCCCAAGAAAAUCAUGCCCUUGUGUUUGGAUUAUCUGUCAGCCCCUGCUCCCUAAGAACUUGUGAACCAGUUUUGACACAGCAAUUGCAGUCUCAGAGAUGUCAAAGCAUCUUAAACAAACAAGGUAUGACGCCAUCGAAGGAAGGAUGGGAGUGGUGCAAGUGUUGUGUGUGGUGGGGUAUUGGGCUGGGAGGCCUAUGGGGGCCAUCCUAUGGAACCUGAAGCCGUAGAGCUGGAUGAAGGGGUGAAAGGACCCUUGGUUUCCCAGUCCAUGAAACAAAUAAUUUUUAUUCUAGUAAAUAUUCAAGACAGCUUUGCAACUACUUGC